CUCCUUUGCUAGUUAGCCUUUACAUGAGUGAGUGUGCAGAGAGAAACAGAAAGGGAGAGGAGGUGGCAGAGUGUGUGGCAUUAGAAAGCAACUUUUCUGCCAGGGACGAAGGAAACAGAAACAGCAGCUGUUGCUGCUUUUCAUAAACUUCCAUCAAGAUGCCCUUUCAAAAUAGCUCUACCAGGAUCCGACAGCACAGACUGAUACUUACAGGGAUCAUGGUUCUUUUGGUUACACUAGUUAUUGCUGUGUUGGUUGUUGUGCUCAAGCCUAGAAGUAAAGGAGCCACUGGCUCAGAAGUAAUCCAAUGGAAAGGCAAAGGGACCACUGAACAUCUGCAUGAAAUCAUCUUGGGGAGAUGUUAUAACUAUAUUGCCACAGUGAAUCCUGAGCUCAGAGACAAAGACUGCCUCCAAAUUUGGGAACUAUUUCAAAAAGCAUUUAUGUACAAGGACCCAUGCAGUGCGACAGAGGAAGAUUAUCAGCCUCUGAUGGACUUGGCAAGACAUUCCAUCCCAUGUAACAAGUCGCUGUUUUGGAGCACGACAAAUGACCUUGUACAUCGUUACACAAAAGCUGAUCGUGGUUUCCUCACAUUGGAAGACACUAUGCUAGGUUAUAUAGCAGAUGGGGUCACAUGGUGUGGAGACCUCUCCAGCCCAGGAGUCAGCUUCAAAUCUUGCCCAAAAUGGACUGAGUGUGAGAGUAACCCCAGUUCAAUAUACUGGAAAAUGGCAUCCAAGAUGUUUGCCGAAGCAGCCUGUGGAACUGUCCAAGUGUUGCUUAAUGGGUCAACAGAAGCUGGUGCAUUCAGAGAUAACAGCAUUUUUGGCAGUGUUGAAAUUGUAAACUUAAAUCCAAACAAAGUCUCCAAGAUGCAGAUUUGGCUUAUGCAUGACAUUGACGGACCACAAAGGCAGGCCUCGCUUAUUCCAGACCCCCGCUGUAAAGCAGAAAUCACCGUAAAGCGGAACCCCAUUGGAUAUAAUGGGGCACGUCGUGCCAAAAUGCCGCAAAAUGCUGCAAAAGGGCAAAAUCAGCUUUAAAAAAGUAAAGUCAAAGCCACCGCAUUAGCGGAUCACCAGGAAGCGAAGCGCCGAAUACUGAAAUUUCCAUUCGGAAAAAAAUGGAUUCGUAAAAGCAUCAGCUAGUGGACAAAGAAUGGACUUGAAUUUAUACUGGCCUGUUAGGUUGAUGGAACGCUUUUGAACAGGCACCAGCUAAUGGAUCCCAUUCCUAAUUGAUGUACUGAUAGUUUGUGCCCUCCUUUUCCAUCUCUCAAGCGAUAUGCUCAAAGGUACCGUAGCUGUGGUGGCUGCUUCUAAGCUUUUCUUUGAAUCUUUUCCUCCACCCAAAUGAAGAUGGAGAAUUUCCUGUGUUUUUCAUGAAAUGCCCCUUCCCUUCCCAUUUACCAAUUUAUCAUUGUCCUCCACCGCAAAAGCAGAAACCCACAGCUUUCUCGGAAAAGGAAGGGAAAAGGUAACUCCCAGGUGAAUGCACAUGGAAAUGAGGGGGUGUAUAUCGUUUAUUAGAAAACAUACAAAAAGUGUACAAAAGUGAUAGAAUACUAUUAGAACACAUUCUGAAAACGUUUUAAUAUAUUAAUUUAAUUGUUCAAAUAAAAGAAAAUGAGCGGGAGUGGCACAGCCCUGCAACAUCAGAAAGUCCAGCUCAGUGGGAGGUCACCUGAGGAAAUGCUAUCUGGGUACACAUUCAGGUAGCAAGUGCCUGAGAAGUACAUUGUUAGGACAAAACAGAUUAUAGCAGUCACAGCAAAAAGUGCUUUACAUUGAUUAAGAGUGUGGAGCAGGGACAACAUAGGAUGAUGUCGUGUGCACAGCAGCCACAAAAUGCACAUGCAUCCUGCAGUGAAUGCACAUCACCACACAGUAUGUACACAGCCCGCUCCCACUGCUAGUGCUCCCAGUUCCAUAUUGGGGGUGGGGGCACUGGCAGCUGCUGGCUAUCAUAAGUUUGAGCUUGGUGGGGAGAGAACUCAGUCAGUGCUGCUGCGAACGCUUCAGCCAUUCCCCCUACUCUGCCCCUGGGGGCACUACACAGCUUGCUGCCAGCAGCAUUCAUGCCUCAUGAUCAGAUGCAAUAAUGAAUUUAUU